GGCAGAAGCGCCUGAUCGGACUUCGGUUCGCACAUCGGGAAGGGCUUCUUCCAUUCCAAAGAACAUUGCCGUCGUCCUCAUGUCCCUUCAUCCUGGAGAAUUUGCCGCGUUGGUGUGGCAAAUGAAGCCGCCUUUGGGCAGCACGGGCUUGCCCGCCGAGGCCAAAAGGUCGCAGGUGGGGCCGGUAGCUCAGGUGGUUAGAGCGUACGCCUGAUAAGCGUAAGGUCGGAGGUUCGAGUCCUCCUCGGCCCACCAUAUCGACGCGCUGUUUUGGAUGACCUUUGAAAGGGUUGUUCAGGCGAUCAUGGUUGGGGGCCUUAGCUCAGCUGGGAGAGCACCUGCUUUGCAAGCAGGGGGUCAUCGGUUCGAUCCCGAUAGGCUCCACCAUUUCGAACUCCAGAGAUGAAGACAACAUAUUCCGCGAGGGCCUUUGGGCUCUGGUGGUUGCGCAGACCGAAGCUGGUCUGUUCUUUGACAUUGUGAAUGGGUUUUUUAAUCGAUGCCGUGGUUGCAUCGUGGCGGUUCCGCAAGGGAUCGUUCGCGUUGCCAAUCACACAUUCAUUUCAAAAUGAAUAUCUGGCUGAGAAUAAUCAUCCACACCGAUAAGCCGUGGCAGCAUGCCGAGAGGCUGGGGUGAGGGUUGGUGCAGACACAAGACUGUGCCGAUCGUGCAUCCUGCCAGUGCUGACA
rnacentral:tRNA from 1 species